rnacentral:ribozyme from 1 species
GUUCUUGUGUUUUUUUUUUCUUUCUUUUCUUUCUCCUUUGUUUUCUCUCGGUUUGAGAAGCGAAUUCCAUC